GUGCUGCCUUUGGCAGCACAUACACUAAAAUUGGAACGAUACUGAGAAGAUUAGCAUGGUCUCUGUGCAAUAAUGACAGGCGAAUUUGUGAAGAAAGGGGCAGGUGG
ensembl:snRNA U6 U6 spliceosomal RNA